CCAUAUUUAAGAAUUGCACCAAACAGGGGAUAAGAGAGGCAGGGAAGAUACAACAUCAGUUUUUCACAAGCACAGCAUAUACAAAAUCCACAAAGGAAAAAAAGUGUGAAAUAUUAUCUAGCAUAAACUACUUUAGCCAACUAAAAGGACUCUGCAAAAGGGGAGGAAUUGGAGUCAAAUUGAAUCGAUUAAACCUGGAAGGAGAACGAGAGCACGAAGAGACGGAAGC
rnacentral:lncRNA from 1 species